GACGAACGCUGGCGGCGUGCUUAACACAUGCAAGUCGAGCGGUAAGGCCCCUUCGGGGGUACACGAGCGGCGAACGGGUGAGUAACACGUGGGUGACCUGCCCUCAGCUCUGGGAUAAGCCUGGGAAACCGGGUCUAAUACCGGAUAUGACUCCAUGACGCAUGUUGUGGGGUGGAAAGCCUUGUGCGGCUGAGGAUGGGGCCCGCGGCCUAUCAGCUUGUUGGUGGGGUGAUGGCCUACCAAGGCGACGACGGGUAGCCGGCCUGAGAGGGCGACCGGCCACACUGGGACUGAGACACGGCCCAGACUCCUACGGGAGGCAGCAGUGGGGAAUCUUGCGCAAUGGGCGAAAGCCUGACGCAGCGACGCCGCGUGAGGGAUGAC
rnacentral:rRNA from 1 species